GACGGAGGGUGCAAGCGUUGUUCGGAAUUACUGGGCGUAAAGGGCGCGUAGGCGGUCUGUUAAGUUCGGUGUGAAAGCCCCCGGCUCACCUGGGGAACUGCGCCGGAAACCGACAGACUCGAGUACCGGAGAGGAGGGUGGAAUUCCUGGUGUAGCGGUGAAAUGCGUAGAUAUCGGGAGGAACACCGGUGGCGAAGGCGGCUCUCUGGACCACUACUGACGCUGAGGCGCGAAAGCUAGGGGAGCAAACAGG
rnacentral:rRNA from 1 species